CCCAACGCUCUAACCACUACUAACCCUAACCCUAACCUUCUUUUUUUUAACCCUAAACCUAACCCUACACUUUACCUUUACCUUAACCCUAACAUUAACCCUUACCCUAACCCUAACAUUAACCCUUACCCUAACCCUAACAUUAACCCUUACCCUAACCCUAACAUUAACCCUUACUCUAACCCUAACAUUAACCCUUACCCUAACCCUAACAUUAACCCCUACCCUAACCCUAACAUUAACCCCUACCCUAACCCUAACAUUAACCCCUACCCUAACCCUAACAUUAACCCUUACCCUAACCCUAACAUUAACCCUUACCCUAACCCUAACAUUAACCCUUACCCUAACCCUAACAUUAACCCCUACCCUAACCCUAACAUUAACCCCUACCCUAACCCUAACAUUAACCCUUACCCUAACCCUAACAUUAACCCUUACCCUAACCCUAACAUUAACCCUUACCCUAACCCUAACAUUAACCCAUACCCUAACCCUAACAUUAACAUUAACACUUACCCUAACCCUAACAUUAACCCCUACCCUAACCCUAACAUUAACCCUUACCCUAACCCUAACCCUAACAUUAACCCUUACCCUAACCCUAACAUUAACCCCUACCCUAACCAUUACAUUAACCCCUACCCUAACCCUAACAUGAACCCUUACCCUAACCCUUACCCUAAAAUUAACCCUUACCCUAACCCUAACCCUAACAUUAACCCCUACCCUAACCCUAACAUUAACCCUUACCCUAACAUUAACCCCUACCCUAACCCUAACAUUAACCCUUACCCUAACCCUAACAUUAACCCCUACCCUAACCCUAACAUUAACCCUUACCCUAACAUUAACCCCUACUCUAACCCUAACAUUAACCCUUACCCUAACCCUAACAUUAACCCCUACCCUAACCCUAACAUUAACCCCUACCAUAACCCUAACAUUAACCCCUACCCUAACCCUAACAUUAACCCUUACCCUAACCCUAACAUUAACCCCUUACCCUAA
rnacentral:lncRNA from 1 species